GAUAACCAGAAAUGUUUAGCGCAUUUAUGAAACUGGCGCUGAUGUUUACGAUGGUGGCGUGUGGGCAGCGGCAGCAGUGUCUCACGUGGCCUGGCAGGGGAGGGUGUCCACGGCCGGCGGCGGGCGGCGUGGCUGGGUGUGGCGCCCGUCAGACAGGGCGCGGCCUUGGUGCACACACGGGCAGCGGCGGUGACAGGUGUGUGGCGCGGCAGGUGUGUGGCAGCCGACACGUUUCGUGAGCUGCAUUGGAGGGUGGGUGUGCCUCUCCGCACACUCCAGUCAUGUACGAGUUCUGGCUUGGCGGUUCCCAUAUGGGAACCGCCGUACCUGAUUGGCAAUGGGUAGUAAAGGAAUGAGUAUGGAGGAAAUUCAAGAAGCAAUUUUUGACUCUGAUGACAGUACCAGCGAUGUGGAAAUUGAAGCUGCUACAGAGAUCGAGACAGGUGACAUGAGCGAAGACGAGCUUACCACUGAACGACCUGACCCCGAUGACCCGUCGCCCAUACCUGACGUGGCAUCCACAGAAGAAAAGAACUUAUUCAUUAUUCAUUAUUUCUGAACAUAAUUGGCUGCAAAGAAAAUACAUGUGAUUCUAUAUAAAUGUCACUAAAAGUUAGAUCAA